rnacentral:rRNA from 1 species
UACGAAGGGUGCAAGCGUUAAUCGGAAUUACUGGGCGUAAAGGGUGCGUAGGCGGUUGUUUAAGUCUGUCGUGAAAUCCCCGGGCUCAACCUGGGAAUGGCGAUGGAUACUGGGCAGCUAGAGUGUGUCAGAGGAUGAUGGAAUUCCCGGUGUAGCGGUGAAAUGCGUAGAGAUCGGGAGGAACAUCAGUGGCGAAGGCGGCCAUCUGGGACAACACUGACGCUGAAGCACGAAAGCGUGGGGAGCAAACAGG